UGGUUCUGGCAUCGAUGAAGAACGCAGCGAAAUGCGAUAAGUAAUGUGAAUUGCAGAAUUCAGUGAAUCAUCGAAUCUUUGAACGCACAUUGCGCCCAUUAGUAUUCUAGUGGGCAUGCCUGUUCGAGCGUCAUUUCAACCUUCAGUUUUCUGAUGUUGGACACUGUAGGAAACUACAGGGCCAAAAUAUAGUGGCGAAAGCACCUAUGCCAAGUGAAGUAAACUCUCGCUACGGCUACAGUGACGAUCUGCCCACACCAUCUCUUCAGGUUGACCUCGAAUCAGACAGGAAUACCCGCUGA
rnacentral:misc_RNA from 1 species